AUCACGACCUCUCCGAGUUGGAGAGUUGCCAGUGAAGUCUUGAAAUUGACUCCCCUCCAAUUGCGGUUCUUUGCCAGGGAGUGGCAAUCACCCUCUUCAAUAUGCGCAAGGUGCAGUCGUGCACAUCCUCCCCGUCAAUAAGCGCAACCAGUUUACCUUUAACAGAUUUUUAAAAAAAACAAUAACAUAAUAUAAAACAAUAUAAAAAUAAAUAAAUAAUACACAUGUAUUGCCUCGUCACCUGUAUCAGUGCUUCUCACUACUCCAGCAGUUACUCUACCAAAGAUUAGGUCAUAACUGUUCCUUCAUAUCAAAGUGGUGUUGAAUAUUGUGCUUUGAGUACGAGUGUGUCCUUUUGAGAAAAAAGAAACACUUUUAGUAGCUGUGUAAUUGUGCAAGCAAUUGUUAACAAAAAAGAAAAAAAUCUCAACAGUUUUUGCUUGUAAUCUGGACUCUGUUGCAUUCUUUGCUCCAGACUACGCCAUUGAGGAAGGUCUUGCAGGGGCAGUAAACCUUUCUCAAUAUCCAAAGGCUGCACCUGGACCUCCUGUAGUUGAAGUAAUCUCAGUGGUUUGUUGGUCCAGCACCAUCUCUAAUUUAGUCAGCACCUCCCUCAGCAUGGCUAUGAUAAAGAAGUUCCGAGUCUGACUGGAGGUCUGACCAGGUCCUGCCCUCUUUGGCUUUCCUCCUGCAUUCUUUAUAGCUGUCUGUAAAAUACAGUUGCAUGUAAACAUUAUUCAAUCCCUUCAGGAUCACUCGAUGAGACGAAAAUUUUGUAUGUUGCUAGACUAAGGCUAAGAAUUGCACAAACGCCAUAAGAAAAACAGUGUUGAGCCGAACAACAGGUCUGUUAUACUGCUAAGUGGACAAUAUAAUCAAAUAAGGGGACCACAGCAUGCUGCAAGCGGUGAGGGUUUUCUGACAGAACAUAUUAAAUUAGCAUUAGCUCCAUGUUCUAGAAACUUCUAGCCAAACAUUCAGGGAAAAAAAAGUCAAUCGGAACAAAAGUACAAUAAAAAGUAGCAAAAGAGGAAAGGAAUAAACGAGGAGUUUGUGUCUUAGUUGUAGAGCAAUAAAAAAAAAAAAAAAAACUUUAUAAAAACGUGUCGAGCUGUGAGAAUCAGCAUCUGUCACGACGAUGCCAAACGCUCCGAGUCUCCAGACCGCUUUUAUCCCGAAGAACAACUGAGAGAUCAAAGUCCCCACCCCGUUUCAUCAUUUCUGUCCGAAUUAGCGCGUUAGCUAUCCCGAGGCGGCUGAGCUCCUUAAUUCCAGCUAUGGGCCGACUGUGACUUAACGAACACCGCUACGCCGAGUAUGGACCUGCCGCGCGUACACCAGCUUUCAGCCGAGAUUGGCCCAAAUAGCAAAACCCGUCUGUCGGCCAGACGUGGUGUGAGCAGUCGGCAGGGCUCUGGGCUAUUACCUUUUCACCGAUACCGCCAUUGAGCCGACAACGGCGCAUUUCUACCGGAAUCGGCCCAAAUGUGCUUGCUAUCUGGUAGACUCCUAGUAGGAUGACUGACCUACUACAGGUGAGAUUUUGUCAGUAUGUCGUAUUAUACGAAUACACAAGUUAAUCAUUUCGUUAAAUAAUUAACUGAAAGUGAACUAAAUCACAUUUCACAUUAUAAAUGUAGUAGUAGAGGAGAGGGGGAGACAGAACGGAUAUUCUGUAGAACGGCGUUUCCAUGGAAAGGUUGUGACAUCACUGGAAACAGAACGCAAUUCUGUUCUACAAAAUUUAAAAAGAAGGCAGAGGCUCAUUGUUUCAUUGAACUCGAUUUUUACAAGCUGUUUAUCAGACCUGUUAAGGAGUAAGAUAUAAUGUUACCUUUUGGUAAAUGCAAGAGUUUUACAAGCUUUGCAGCUUCUGGAACUGAAGCCCUUGCUGCUGGAGAUUAUAAUGUCCAAAAGUGUGAAGUUGAGGAGCCCAUUAGGGAAGCCAUCGAAGGCACAGUUGUCCACAAAGACCCAGUGCAGAAUGUCUCUGAUGGAUACAUGGAUGCGGUCAUGGACACGGCCAAGCCUGAGGAUAUUCUGGAGCAUGAGAACUCUGACCUGAAGGACGAAGUAAAAAUACUGCACUGCUCAUUGGACAAGUUGGAGGAAGAACUCCGUGACACUAACCGCAUGCAUGUAAGGAAAUUAACGGAGCAGGAGCAAAAGCUACAGAAAUCCAAAGUCCUUUGGUACCAAUCCGAAGAGACUAAGGAUAUUCUGGAGCAGGAGAACUCCAACCUGAAGGAUGAAGUAAAAAUACUGCACUGCUCAUUGGACAAGUUGGAGGAAGAACUCCGUGACACUAACCUCAUGAAUGUAAGGAAAUUAACGGAGCAGGAGCAAAAGUUGCAGAAAUCCAAAGUCCUUUGGUACCAAUCUGAAGAGACUAAGUACAUUCUGGAGCACGAGAACUCCAACCUGAAGGACGAAGUAAAAAUACUGCACUGCUCAUUGGACAAGUUGGAGGAAGAACUCCGUGACACUAACCGCAUACAUGUAAGGAAAUUAACGGAGCAGGAGCAAAAGCUACAGAAAUCCCAAGUCCUUUGGUACCAAUCCGAAGAGACUAAGGAUAUUCUGGAGCAGGAGAACUCCAACCUGAAGGAUGAAGUAAAAACACUGCGAGCGUCAGUGGAGAAGUUGGAGAGACAACUCUAUGAGACCCAAAAGUUUAAUGAAGAGAUACUGAAUGAGCAGUAUCGAGAGCAGCAGAAACACAUUAACCUUUUGUCCAUGUUUGCAGCCAUUAAGAGUGAAGCUCAGGAGAAAGCUCUGAACGCCAUUGCUCAGAUAGAGAAUGAGAAGUUCGCCCUGAGGAAACAACUGGGAAUUCUGCACUCACUAGAGGGCUGUGCUACAGAGAUCUAAAUCGCACAGGACGCCCAAAGUGGAAAAAAUCAGAUCGCCAACAAAAAAUUCUGCACAUCGUUUAUCACGAUGAACAUAAAAAAUGAGAAAUGAAACCUGAAUUAAAAAAAAGAUGAUUGUAUGAAACAUUUUGAAAUGUUCCAUUUAUAUUAGGGUUGUCAUGAUACCAUAAACAUAUCUUACAAUACUAUACCAGCUGAAGUAUCACAAUACAAGGCAAUAUUGUGUUAAUUCAUCAUUCAAAUCUAAUCUACAAUAUGAACCAAACUUACAGAAAUACAUAGAUAAAAAUGAAAACAAACAAACCGGAUUUUUUAAAAAAUACUUUAUUAAUGAGAAUGAAUAACUGGCUAUUUGAAGAACUCAAGAACAAUCAUACAAUUAGCAAGCAACUAAUUCAACAUGCCACAUAUUUCAUCUAUUGUUCCCUAGAGCAAUGAAAUC
ensembl:lncRNA